rnacentral:rRNA from 1 species
CAAAAACAUGUCUUUUUGAAUUAAAUUUAAAGUCUAACCUGCCCACUGAAAUUUUUAAAUGGCCGCAGUAUUCUAACUGUGCAAAGGUAGCAUAAUCAUUAGUCUUUUAAUUGAAGGCUGGAAUGAAUGGUUGGACGAAAUAUUAACUGUUUCAUUUAAAUUUUUUAUAGAAUUUUAUUUUUUAGUCAAAAAGCUAAAAUUUAUUUAAAAGACGAGAAGACCCUAUAAAUCUUUAUAUUUUGUUUAUUUUAAUUAUAAAGAUUAUUUUUAUUAUAAUAAAUUAAAAUAUUUUAUUGGGGUGAUAUUAAAAUUUAAAAAACUUUUAAUUUUUAAAACCAUUAAUAUAUGAAUAAUUGAUCCAUUAAUAAUGAUUAAAAAUUUAAGUUACUUUAGGGAUAACAGCGUAAUUUUUUUGGAGAGUUCAUAUCGAUAAAAAAGAUUGCGACCUCGAUGUUGGAUUAAGAUAUAAUUUUGGG